UUGCUUUCGUCAUCCGCGUAGCUUAUACCCCACAUGUGCAAAAUAUAUUGCUCUGCUGUUGUUGCUGCUCAAUCAGCUGGUACAUACGCCACUUUCGACGAUCUCCGCCUUGGUCGGUCGACUCAGGUCAUGUCAUCAGGGCCGGGUCUGAGCCCAUUCUUGUGAAACAUUUGAAUUGGACCCCAAUAUUUUAAGGGCCCCAAAUUAAAAAAAAUCUAUAUAUUUGCCUUUUUUAAUUAAGUUUUUUGAUAUAAUACACAACAAAAUAUAACUUUUUGAAUAUAUAUAUAUAUAAUAGUUGAAAUAUUAAAUAAGGUAUAAAUAAAUAUAAUGUGAAAUUAUAUAAAAUAUGUAUAAUAAUUUUUUUAAAUGUAUUUAUUUGAUUGAAAAAAAAACUUGAAUGGAUCCCAAUUUUUACAGGCCCUGCUCUGCAUGUCAUUGUCGGCCGCCUCCUACCCUUCUGCUCUGGGAUUCCUUCAACAUCAAGAAGAAUUUAGAGUUUAUAGGUAUCACCCUACUCUAGAAUUCUGUCAUUCAUGGAUUUAUCCCUGCGGCUCGUGCCAAUGGCAAUCAGUAAUGCGCUUCUCUAUGAACCGGUGCGAUCGUCAAAAUUGCUCGGUUUGAAGUCGGGCGUCGCACAAAAAUAUACAAGAUUACCGAUCAGUCCAACUCAAACGACCAGGUAAGUAUAGCUCUUUCAUAUUCUUUUUUAAAAAUUCUCCAUGUGUUACAAAAUUAAUACUUCUAAUGGAAGUUGGACAAAUAUGUCACCUCCCUCCGCUGCAAUAGAUGUGUUCACCCAAUGUAACUGAUGACAGUUAAACCCAUGUCCAAAAGAACACUACAAAUUGUAAAUGAUCAUAAAAACGCAAGAUUCCAUGUAGAGAUGGCCGUUGAAGAUGGCAAAGACAGUGCAGUGUUUGUGGUCUUCGAUACCGAGAUGUAUAAACUCACCAAGAUUGAAGCAGCCACACUAGCUCUAGAGGAGGUUUGGUCUGCAGCUAAAGAGUUGGCUCUAAAGCUGGGUCUGGCAAAGGCACAUCUUCUAGAUGAUGGGUAACUUUGUCUAACAUAUAGGAUUUUUACUGUGUUAACAGUCCAGUUAUGUAUGAGGAUCGUCAAUUCUCUCCUUUUUGGAUAAAGCUCCUAAAGUCUUACAGAUCCCUGAUCAUCAAGUCUAUGAGAACGAACAAAUGAUUAACCCACGUGCCAAACUUCGUUUCAUGGUGAAAGCAGCAUUAACCCUCCACAGCUGGAUCUCCAAUCUAUGGAACCACCUGCUUCUGCACGCAAUCCGGUGAUGAGCCUCCAAACAUAAUGGAAGUUGAUCCACCAAUACCAUUAAACUUUGGAGCCGAAGAGAAGAGCUGCAAACGCCCAAGUGUGUUAUCCUAGCAAGUUCGGGAAACCGUUGUUCCCAUGCGCAUUAGAGGUUUAAAGGAGAGUAUCACACUUUUUACGAGGAAAAAAAUAUUAAAAAAAGCAAAAGUGAUGAACUCGGUUCGUCUCGCAUCUCCUGCGUGAUACCCUCUCUCCUAAAGUUCAUCACUGUAGCGCGGGCCCACGACACGUGGCAGUCCGCGAUUGGUUAAUUUUUUUUUUAAAAAAAAAAAAAUCAAAAAAAAGGAAAAAACUUAAUAAUAAAAAAUUAAGAAGAUGAAC